rnacentral:misc_RNA from 1 species
UCUCCGUAGGUGAACCUGCGGAGGGAUCAUUACUGAGUGAGGGCUUCGGUCCGACCUCCAACCCUUUGUGAACCAAACUUGUUGCUUCGGGGGCGACCCUGCCGUUUCGACGGCGAGCGCCCCCGGAGGCCUUCAAACACUGCAUCUUUGCGUCGGAGUUUAAACAAAUUAAACAAAACUUUCAACAACGGAUCUCUUGGUUCUGGCAUCGAUGAAGAACGCAGC